UAUCUGGGGGAGGAAAAAAAAAAGUGCUCCUCCUUCGUUUCAUAUGUCAGUUCAUCAAGAGAGCUGGCACAGCACCGCAGCGUUAGCGGACCACUGGACGACUACAACCUCGCAGACAAAGAUGAGGACAUAUAUAUAUUUAUAUAGCCGAUUGAAGACAACAGUAUCAGCACGUCAAGAAACUUCAAGAGGAAACUCGACAAGGACGGACGAUAAAGAAUCACAGAACAUGCGAGUCUGUGUGUUCCUUCUUUGUAUGCUUACGUCCACAGGGAGAGUCAAAACAAAACACACGGAAAGAGCUGCAACAGAGGGCUCCUCUCACAGAGGAUCUUUGACAAAUUAUUUUCCAGCAGACUAUUCCUGUUGUAUAGAGGAUCUUUGACAGGCAUUUUUCUGGUACGUUUUAAAGGGAAACUGCACUUUUUUUUAAUUAUUCACAAUCCUUAUGUGAAACAGGAACACAUAUUUCUUUUCCUUUUCUGUGCAGGGUCUUUUCAUUUUUGCAUCAUUUCAUGUACACACUCUGAUCAUGCAUUAACACGUACACUGAUGAUAAUAUGUAAUAGUUGCAGUAUCUUGCCGUAUUUUGAUGAUUAUAAACAUAAGUUAGCUGAAAUAAACUUUUUUUAAUGCACAGAAAAGGAAAAAAAAAUAUGUGUUCAUGUUUCACAUAAGGAUUGGGAAUGUUUCCAAAUAAAGUCCCAUUCCCCUUUUAAGGCAGCAGAGUGUUCCUGUCAAAGACAGAAUCCUGGUGCUGGUCCACAAAGAAGCAGCUAAACACUUGCAGACCUUCACAUGGCCUGUGACUUCAAAAAUUCAUCAUCCAUCAUCCAUUGAGCAGCACAAGACAAUCAUGUUUGAGAAGAAGUCCUGAGGCAAAAAGCUGAAGGAUGGACAAGAUCACGCAUCAUCUGCUUUGGGAGGCCGACAUGGCUUUUACACAAAAAGUGCAUCUUGUUGCUCUAAAAGCCCAAUGCAACACCAUCUCCAGGAAUUCAAGCCACGACAAGACGCAAAGAUGGGUAAGGAAACGUGAGGCUGCUGAUGUCAUGAGCAUCUGACCCCAGAUGACAACCUCGGCCUACCCUCAGGAUCAGUCAGCUCCAUGGGAAGCGGCUCCUCAGGAAACACUGUGGUUUUAUUACCAGCACUAAAUGACUCAAAUUGAUCUUUUCCCUGACAAUUGAUCUCAUACAAGCAAGGAGACAUGCUGGCGGCUUUGAAGGUACCAUGAAAUAAACACCAGCAGUUUUGGGUCUUUUCGUUUGACUUUGUAGCAUAGAUCAAUGAAGCGCAAGCUUCUGUCACAAUAGAACCCCAUCAUCGACAAUACAGUACAUAUAUACCAUAGAGCAGGGGUGGGCAAAUAUUUGGACUCCUGGCCGCAUUGAGUUAACAAAAUUGUCCAGAACAUAUAUUUAACACACACAUACACACACACACACACACACACACUAUUUUAUGCUUAUAAUUUUUCUUGAAUUAUUUGUCUAAUGUUAUCUGUAGAAGUGUAAUACUAUCAGCUGUAUGUUCUCAUGUCAAUUUUUUCAGGAUCACUAAACAUCAGACCACAUCAAACUAUGUUAUUUAAUUUUACAGUUGUGUUGUUUUUUUUUUUUUUUUUUUACUAAAUAAGACUUGCAAGUCAUGUUGCCAGUUUGUAUGUUAAAAGUUGAAAU